AACUCUAAUAGUAUCACAGGUUACAUUUGCUGGGAUCUUUAUGACAAAUUCUGCCUACAGGCAGGGUAAUGGAUUUUGAAAAUCUUUCAUGGAAUUUUAUACCCCCAAGAGUAUGUGAAAUUGAGUUCAGAAGUUGAAAGAAACAAGGAUUCAGAAAGUCUAUUGCCUUCAAACGCAGUGAACACAUACAAAAAAGACGCUGGAAUGCUCCCACAUGGUGGGCAUAUCAUGGGAUCCAAUGCACACUGCCCACACGAGAAUACAGAUGAGAGAGACAUGGAGUGAGAAAGAGGAAUGAAGUACCAGUAGAUUCAAGUCAAGGAAAAACUGUUUUGGGCAGAGGUAAGGAAGAACAGGAAACUGAACUGUGAAAAACACAGAAGCACGGCAAGUGCUGUCGAGCACAUUUUCUUCCUNUUUUUUUUUUUCUUUUUUUUUUUUUUUUUUUUUUUUUAACCUUCAGGGAAACUUUGUUUAGUCUUCUUUUUAAAGCUAUCUAGUCUAAAAAGGAGUUGAGGUGAAGACUGAAGAAAGAACAUGAGACCUUCUAACAGAGUCAAACCGACUCAGACAGACAGAAGCGGGGGAAGGAUCUGCAGCGUUUAUUUUGUGGCACCAACCCCAGGACUCCAGCCCCUUGGCGCCAGGCAGGCCUCCUGAGAAAGGUGCAUCAGCUUUGGGCGUGGCGGGUUGCAGGGGCGGAGGCGCCAUCUUUGACGCUGCCUUUCCGGAGCCUGUCGAACUGCAAGUAUAAAGACUCUCUUCUUAAGGCCUACUUCUUGACCAAGGGAGUUGCAAACUGCUCCAGGGAGUCCACCUCGGAUGGAGCCGAGGACCUCAGCUGGGUCUUGGGGGUGCUCCCCACUCUCUCCCGCCAGCUCCCGCCCCGCGAAGGGGGUGGCUCGGACUCACAGACGGGACCUUGGUUGGGAACCGCCGACGCCCCCGGAGAAGUCGCGUUCUCUGCUUGCUCCCCCGCCGCCGCAGUCGCAAACAUGUUCGCACCAUCCGCGUGACGUCCCCCGACGUUGAAAGCACCCGCUGCCUCACAGGUGAGACCUAUGAGGCCCCAGGCCCAGUUCUUGAUUGCUCGCCCAGCCGCC
rnacentral:lncRNA from 1 species